AUGACCUUACCAAAAGAGCAUGGUGGCCUUGGUUUCCGGGACCUACACGCUUUCAACAUUGCCAUGCUUGCCCGUCAAGUCUGGCGCCUCCUACAAGCCCCUGAAUCUCUAUGUGCUCGAGUCCUAUGUGCCAAGUAUUACCCCAAUGGCGACCUUCUAUCGGCGAUACCAACACCCGGAAUCAGCUAUGUAUGGCGGAGUAUCUUGCAGGGGAUCCAAGUAGUCAGAGAAGGUAUGGUUUGGAGAGUGGGGGACGGACAGCAGAUUCGCAUGUGGCAUGAUCCAUGGCUGCCGUCGGGACCAGUACGCUUCCCGCGCACUCCACAGGGUGCAAACCUGCUGACGAGGGUCUCGGAACUGAUAGACCCAGCCACGCACACAUGGGAUGAGCAGUUAGUGCAGCAGACUUUCAGUCAGGAGGACGCGGUAGUGAUUCUGCAGAUCCCGAUUUUUGAACAUCAUGAGGAUUUUGUGGCCUGGCAAUUUGACAAUAAGGAUUUGUUCUCGGUCAGAUCGGCCUAUCGGGUUUAUACUGACAUGCUCCAUAGACAACGGCCACGACCGCGUGGGGAAAGCUCGUCCGGGGAAAAUGAGGAGAGGAAGAUGUGGCAGAAGCUCUGGAAGGUCAAUUGUCCGGGGAAAGUACAUCAUUUAAUGUGGAGACUUGCCCAUAACAGCCACCCUCUGUUGAGGAAUGUGGAACGGAUCGACGUCCAGCUGGAAACAAACUGUGUGGUUUGCCACAGAUUACAGGAAGAUGGAGGACACCUCUUUCUGCGUUGUAAGGAGGUGAAGAAGAUGUGGAGGGCUUGCGGGCUGGAGCAGAGUAGGCAGAAACUGCUAUCAUGUCAGUCACCGCGCCAAUUUCUUAACCUCAUUGUGUCUAUGCCUAAGGAUGAGAAGCUACAUACGAUCUGCCUCCUAUGGAUGUGGUGGACGGAAAGGAACAAGGCAAACCACAACGCGCAUAGAGCCUCGACCCAGGAGUUUGGUUUCACGCUGGCAAAACACAUCGCGGAAUGA
rnacentral:rRNA from 1 species